rnacentral:rRNA from 1 species
AUGCACCCAACUGGGCGGCUUGAAUACCAAUGCUGGGUUGACAGGCUUGAAAUCAGAGCAUAUGGUCAUCUUAAAAUCCAUACAGUUUUGUUGCAUUUGGUAAAAUUAGGCUCCAUUGUCUCAACAGAAGCCAAUGCAUCAUUCAUUUUCCAUGCAUGUGCAUACAUUACUAUAUUAGAUCUUAAUACUCCCUCCAUUUUUGUAUACAAGGCCACUAACAUUAAUCGAGGCAAAAUUGAUGGCGUUUGCCUCGUACUAGAACCCGAGGACAUUAAUAUCCUUUGUGUGCAUGCGGAGUGA